rnacentral:rRNA from 1 species
ACAGUCACACAUUAGAUACCCCGGUAGUCCUAGCCGUAAACGAUACUCGCUAGGUGUCGGCACGGUGCGACCGUUGUCGGUGCCGUAGGGAAGCCGUGAAGCGAGCCACCUGGGAAGUACGGCCGCAAGGCUGAAACUUAAAGGAAUUGGCGGGAGAGCACAACAACGGGUGGAGCUUGCGGUUUAAUUGGAUUCAACGCCGGAAAUCUUACCGGGACCGACAGCAACAUGAAGGCCAAGCUGAAGACUUUGCCGGAUUAGCUG